CACAAGCGGUGGAUGAUGUGGAUUAAUUCGAUGCAACGCGAAGAACCUUACUACCUUGACAUGUCCGGAACUUGCCAGAGAUGGCUUGGUGCCCGAAAGGGAAUCGGAACACAGGUGCUGCAUGGCUGUCGUCAGCUCGUGUCGUGAGAUGUUGGGUUAAGUCCCGCAACGAGCGCAACCCUUAUCAUUAGUUGCUACGCAAGGGCACUCUAAUGAGACUGCCGGUGACAAACCGGAGGAAGGUGGGGAUGACGUCAAGUCCUCAUGGCCCUUAUGGGUAGGGCUUCACACGUCAUACAAUGGUCGGUACAGAGGGUUGCCAAGCCGCGAGGCGGAGCCAAUCCCACAAAGCCGAUCGUAGUCCGGAUCGCAGUCUGCAACUCGACUGCGUGAAGUCGGAAUCGCUAGUAAUCGUGGAUCAGCAUGUCACGGUGAAUACGUUCCCGGGUCUU
rnacentral:rRNA from 1 species